UACGUAGGGUGCGAGCGUUAAUCGGAAUUACUGGGCGUAAAGCGUGCGUAGGUGGUUCUUUAAGUCAGGUGUGAAAUCCCUGGGCUCAACCUGGGAACUGCAUUUGAUACUGAAGAGCUAGAGUGUGGUAGAGGAUAGUGGAAUUCCCGGUGUAGCGGUGAAAUGCGUAGAUAUCGGGAGGAACAUCAGUGGCGAAGGCGGCUAUCUGGACCAACACUGACACUGAGGCACGAAAGCGUGGGUAGCAAACAGG
rnacentral:rRNA from 1 species